rnacentral:sRNA from 1 species
GGAAAUAGUGGGCAUAAAAAUGCAGGAACUACAUACUUCUACAACCGAAGCAAUUUGGCUCUUCCUCUUCCUUAGAGCUUGCUUUUGCAUCUUCCAACUUUUCUCUUGACCAUAGUCAUCAAUUUGAUUGUAAGGAGUUAAUCUGUGCCCAGUAAUUUCGAGAAUAUCUUCUAGAAAUCGACUCCGAACAGGAUAAGUGAAACCCUGAAAUGAGAUGUAUGCAACCAAUGAGGGCCAUCCUAAUAAAAUAAGAUGCUUUAAUCUAGGCUAGGUUAGGAUCUCUCUUAUGAAUAACCCUACUGAUGAGUGAUCAGAGCAAAAUGCAACACGAAAACAACAUAUGAAACAGCCAAAUUAGGCAUCUCCCAAGCGACUAUAUCAGCCCACAUCAAAACAUAGUAUUGAGAGCAUAAAGUGUAUGCCAACAAGUUCUAUUACUCCCGGUUCCACAUGGAAGUUGUUUUAGCCUUAACUCCAAAAUGUAAAUGAAGUUAUUUUAGCCUUAACUCCGAAAUGUAAGUUGCAUUGGAACUUCUAGGCUCCUUUUUGUAUUUCUUCUUCCAUGUUUGCCCUUGCCAAAUAAGUGCUACCUCUCUCACGGAGUCACGGAUAAUGAGUCAUAUUUUCCAGUACUACAAAUGAAGGGAACAAGUCAUUUGAGCUAAUUUCUCAAUACUUGUACACAAGUCUAAAACAACUUGUAUCUGGAAUCAAAGGGAGUAUCACGAGACAAUACAAGUACCAAAUAUACUGAACCAGUUCUACUGGUGAACAGAGCAGCAUCAUAGCUGGUAUACCACAGAAGCAAAUGCCAUAUCAAUAGAGCUGUCAAGCUGGCAGGUACAAUGGGACAUUUUUAUGGCAUUGUGACUUCAUUAAAAAUUCCAACAGAGUUGCAGACGCAGAAAGGAUAAAGUAAAGACAAAGACGAGUGAACUCAAAAUGCCUUAAGAAAUAUCUUACAGGUAUAUGUAUCAUGGGAGCUCCACCAAAGUAUGAAGAGAAUAACUCAGCGUUAAGGGUUGCACUCAUCAAAACAAGUCUUAGCUCAGGCCGGCGUGGAAGAAGGUCCUUCAGGACAAUAAGAAGAAAAUCUAGCACAAAAAUACAAAAAUAUUCAGCAUGAAAUCGUCUACCUGAGUGUCUAGCUAUAACUUUUUGAAUGCAGAUUUAUUUAUUUUAUGACGAUUGCAGACCUUCAUUCAUGCCACGCUCAUGGAUUUCAUCAACAAUAACAUGGGUAACACCUUUCAAAUUUCUAUCCACCAGCAAUCUCCGCAACAGAACUCCAGUAGUACAGAAAAGAAGGCGUGUGUCCCGUCCUUUCAUUCCUUCCAACCGAACUUUGUAGCCAACCUAAAAUUAAGACUCCUUAAUUAGGGCUGAGAUAAUAAGAAUAAUAAAAUCACAAAAUUCUGCAAGAAACAUUAAGCUGAGGCCAAUCCUCUCGUCAGAUCGCCAAAAUGAAAGAAUGAAGGGAAAAAAAUGCAGUCAGGUAUAAGAAAGCAUAUUAUCCCAAUAGUAUAGCUGAUCCAACUGCAGAAUUGAACUGAUGGCCAAUAAUUAACCAAUAGAUUAAAGAUAGCUUUUGGAUAAUGCACAUGUUGUACGGAUUCCCUAAUGGCAACCAUAAGCAGUAGUCCCAGCAUGAAAAAAAAGUCACUCCAUCAGUACAACUCUACAAGUAGGCAGUAGCUCACCGAUUCACCAAUUUUUUCCCCUCUUUCAGCAGCAACUCUUUCAGAAACAGCUAUGGCUGAUAUUCGUCUUGGUUGAGUACAAAUAAUACUGCAAGUGGCACCACGAGCAGCAUCUAUUUCAGACUCUAAAAUGUACUGAGGUAGCUGUGUUGUCUUACCACAUCCUGUUUCACCUGAAACUACAACAACCUGUUCAUCAAAAAGAACAUAUGUCAAUGCUCUUAUCUCAGUAGAACUACUCAAAAGAUUUUGCCUAUGUACUAACAUAUCAAGAUAUAUUUGUCAAAAUUGCUCUCUCAAGUAAAAAAAUAAUAAUAUGAUACAUUGGCUUUCCAACAUACAGAACUUCAACAGCCAUUCAAUUUGGAUAUUAAGUAGAAGAUGUUGCCCUUUACAUGAGAAUAUUAGCUCAGUAUGAUUGCAGUUUGCAAAGAGAUUUUAAUUGGAAAAAUACCAUUCAAUGCGAGGAUGAUAUUUGAGCCCUGGGGCAAUAGACACAUCGAUGAAAAGAUAGAUGUCACUGACUAGUUGAUAUCUGAUCCUUUUUACAUUUAUAAGCAUAUUAAUUGGUGUUGAAGCAGUAAAAUUCCUGGUCUGGUUAGUGAUCACUUAUUUAAACACUCGUUCACAUACAUGAAUAACUUCCUAUUUACUUUCACGAACAAAAUAGUUGGGUUUUAAAAGUCCAUCAUUGACCAAGGUGCAAACCUGAUUGUAAAUCUAGCAAUCCCUCCAUUCUCAAAUGCUAGGCAGUAUUCACAACCAAGCAAAUCAAUUCAGACAGAAUGUGACCAAAGUACAAUUUAAUUUAUUAGAAGAACAUAAAUAAAGUAGUAAAAGCAGGUCCAUAAGCAGAGUCAAUAGGGCCAUAGGGAUAGUCUUUUCUUCUUAUUUUGGGAGUAGAAGGGAAGAAAAUGACAAGUACUUACUAAAUAGACACUUUUUUUUCAAAAGAGUUAAGCAUUUGAGAACAAAGGAAGUAUCUAAUAGUCAACUACAAACACAAAUCUAAAACAAGAGCAGGACCUGAUUCUGAGCUAUAGCUUCCAAUAAUGUUUGCCUUUCUUUAUAAGCAGGAAGACUGCGACGAAAUUCCAUCAUGCUUUGGCCAUCAUGUGAUUCCUGAAAAAGAGAGAAGCUUUAUGCCUUUAACAAUACAAGGCACUAAUCUACACUGGUCACUGCAUCCACUGGAAUCGAUAUAUAACAAAAGCAAGGGGGAAAUGUGUAUCGAAUAAAACAUUCUAAAGCAAAUUUGACUACAGCAUGACAUGGUUAAUAAUGCAGAAUUGCACAAAGAAAAAUAAUCCCUCUAUCCAGAAAUUCAAAUAACUGAUGCAUACAACAUUACUUAGGUUCAGGCGUGGGCAUAUGGAAAUAACAUAGCUGAUCUGUUAUCAGUUAUCAAGAGUAUAAUUUAGUAUGUUAAUGAUAUAUUGAAAUAUCCCCAAACAUUAUGAAAGAAGGGGUCGAGGGUGCAUCUGACUGCAAAGCAUGAACUGCAACAUAUAAUAUGAAAGGAGGGAGCAACCACUAACUUGCAAUGCAACCAAUCGAUUACUACAGAACAGAUACACAGUUGUUUGCAAGUAUGUUGUGAUCCACUUUCUGAACUUUAUAAUUAGCCAUAAGUUUUCACUUCAAAUGGAUAGAUCCUCACAGAGUAAGCAUCAUGAUUGGAAAUUUCUAAUACAAUUGGAAAAAAACUAAUAAAAAAAUCUGCAAGUGGUAUACUGCAUAUAAUCAAACCUGCCAUGAUUCCUGUUGAUUACGCAACUGUAGGCUUUUUCUUCUUUGUAUUCUCUCUAUCACAGCACUGGUUGAAGUCUGAUUAUCUUGCUGCUCCAAGAAGCUUUCGUCAGUUGCAAAACUGUCUGUGCUACUUGACCUUGAGAAAGCGGCAUUAGGAAAGCUCCCACUGCUUGUUCUCUUCCGUGCAAGAUAAUCUGAAAGCAAAGCAUCAACUUCUCUUUGCAAUCCAGAAGGAAUAGACACCUGUAGUAAGUACGAAACGAAUAAUUUAGCGAACAUUAAUGAGCAGUGCAUGCACGUAGCACGCUAAAACACUUGAGGUCUCUCUGAGGUACAAUCAACAUACCUCUCUUUGUGGUCUUUUGUCAUCAAGGUCUGAUCUAUAAUUAGGCAAUGGAACCUUACUAAACACAACAAUCCUAGAAUACUGACGGCUGCAAUAACAUAGAGUUAUCAUCAGAUAGGUGGUAAAGCAUAUGUGGUGUUAGGAUAUCAGAGGGGGCAACGAAGUACCUGUACAAACCCAUUCGUUCGGCCAGUUGGGAAAGUUGUUCAAAAUCACGUCUGUCCUUUCUUUCCCUAGAGAUAACCUCUUGCUCAUCUUCGUUACGAAGAAGCAUGUGCAGUUUCCAUUUCCAUUCAUCAAUAUUAUCUAAAG